rnacentral:rRNA from 1 species
AACCUCCGCAAUGUGAGAAAUCGCGACGGGGCGAUCCCAAGUGCCAUUCUUAACGGGAUGGCUUUUCAUUAGUGUAAAAAGCUUUUGGAAUAAGAGCUGGGCAAGACCGGUGCCAGCCGCCGCGGUAACACCGGCAGCUCUAGUGGUAGCAAUUUUUAUUGGGCCUAAAGCGUCCGUAGCCGGUUUAAUAAGUCUCUGGUGAAAUCCUGUAGCUUAACUGUGGGAAUUGCUGGAGAUACUAUUAGACUUGAGACCGGGAGAGGUUAGAGGUACUCCCAGGGUAGAGGUGAAAUUCUGUAAUCCUGGGAGGACCGCCUGUUGCGAAGGCGUCUAACUGGAACGGUUCUGACGGUGAGGGACGAAAGUUAGGGGCGCGAACCGGAUUAGAUACCCGGGUAGUCCUAACUGUAAACGAUGCGGACUUGGUGUUGGGGUGGCUUUGAGCUGCUCCAGUGCCGAAGGGAAGCUGUUAAGUCCGCCGCCUGGGAAGUACGGUCGCAAGACUGAAACUUAAAGGAAUU